AGUGGUGUCACCUACAAAGAGCUGUAUGCUGCAGGCUGAAUCUGAGAAGCUCCGUCAAGCUUGGAUUCAAGCAGUUCAGGCGAGCAUUGCUUCUGCCUACCGGGAAAUUUCUGAGAACUAUUACAUUGAGGUUUGGACAG